rnacentral:rRNA from 1 species
ACAUACGACCAUACCCACUGGAAUAUACGGGAUCCCGUCCGCUCUCCCCUAGUCAAACCAGUGAGGGCCGAACUAGUACUCAGGUGGGUGACCACUGGGGAAUCCUCGGUGUUGUAUGUGUUU